rnacentral:rRNA from 1 species
UACGAAGGGGGCUAGCGUUGCCCGGAAUCACUGGGCGUAAAGGGCGCGUAGGCGGAUCUUUAAGUCGGGGGUGAAAUCCUGGAGCUCAACUCCAGAACUGCCUUUGAUACUGGUGAUCUUGAGUCCGGGAGAGGUGAGUGGAACUGCGAGUGUAGAGGUGAAAUUCGUAGAUAUUCGCAAGAACACCAGUGGCGAAGGCGGCUCACUGGCCCGGUACUGACGCUGAGGUGCGAAAGCGUGGGGAGCAAACAGG